GGCCCGGCCCUCACCCUCCCGCGGCCCCUGUGUUGUGGCGACGGCGGCCCCCUCAAGGAUUUGUAAGCUGAAAUUGAAUGAAGAGGUAGAAGACAAGUUAUAUAGAAAGAUUAGGAAGACAGAAGGAUUUUUGGUUUAGCAGAGGACAGAGUGUUGGUGAGACAAACAUUUUACAAGAACUGAGGGCUCUGACUCGUGACCUAGAGCAGUUUAAACCAAUAAGCCAGCUGUGACAACUGAGAAGACAAAACACAGCUGUCCUGCAAGGGCAGCUGAAUUGAAGCUCCCACAAAUAACACAGAGAAUCCAGAAAUCUUUGAACCCCUGUAACUGAAGGAUCAGGAUGACGUCUGUCUGGUCCCAAUGUCUCUAUAUCAGGAUUUGAAGUAUGUAUUUGUGAAGAAAAUACCUGG